rnacentral:rRNA from 1 species
UACGUAGGUGGCAAGCGUUGUCCGGAUUUACUGGGCGUAAAGAGCGCGCAGGCGGUCCUUCAAGUCGAAUGUGAAAUCCCCCGGCUCAACUGGGGAGGGUCAUUCGAUACUGAUGGACUCGAAGGCAGGAGAGGGAAGCGGAAUUCCCGGUGUAGUGGUGAAAUGCGUAGAGAUCCGGAGGAACCCCAGAGGCGAAGGCGGCGCCCUGGCUCGCAACUGACGCUCAGACACGACAGCAUGGGGAGCGAACGGG